rnacentral:lncRNA from 1 species
AAAAAAAAAGAAAACGGCGAAUAGGGUCUUCUUAAUUACGUUUGACUUCCUGACAGAGGAGGGAGCUGCUCCUUUCUGGAUGAACUAUUUGCCAUGCCGGACAGCUAGGGAAGAUAUUGGAAAGUUCAUUGGCUGCCCCUGAAAGCGCCCAAUAAAUUGUUUUUGAUGCCGACA